UGCACAAAUUUAAUCCCCGCACUGCUGCAUAAUUCGUUGUGCCAAUGCAUCCCACUUAACACCACGCUUUGUCCCACUUAACGCUAUGUUAUAUAAAAUAAUCAUUUCGUAGGUGAUGACGCAUUUGCUGUCAGAACUUGGCUGAUGAAACCAUUCUCUCAUUGCUCCCAGAAUUACAAAGAAAUUAUCAACAGCUGCAGAUUGUCUCAUGCACGUUGUGUGGUGGAGAAUGCAUUUGAAAUCUUGUCUCAAAGAUGGUUAUUUACAAUAAAUAC